rnacentral:pre_miRNA from 1 species
AAAAAGGCAAACCCUGGGUUUCCGUGUCCAACUUUAAUUGUCCGUCUUAUAUGAUUUUUUUUUUAUAAUUUGUAUUUUCAUUGUUGUUAGAUGAUAAAACAUGAUUAAUAUUUUAUGUGUGACUUGUCUUUUUAAUUUUUUUCAUAAUUUUUUUAAAUAAGACGGACGGUCAAACGUUGGACACGGAAAUCAGGGUUUCUCUUUUG